GUUGGUUUGAAGAGUGGAAGGUUUUUAAAUGAGGAGGCAGAGGGAGAGGAUUUGGGUGGUGGUUCAUAGUGGAGGAUUCCGGCGACAGUGGAAUUGUCAAAGGUUCCACGGCCUGUGGCAUAAGGGCGAGCAGCCAUGAGGAAGGUGGCAUUAGGGAAGUGGGGUUUGGCCUUGAGGAGGAGGUUGGUGGUUUGGCCAGGAGUGAUCAAAAUUGUAUCGGUUUUAAAGGGUUUAACGUAAAUGGCAUCCACAUCAACCACUGUAAGGGUGUGGUUGGCAAUGCUGAAGAAGAGCUCAUCAUUGAGUGCAGCAUUGAUCAAUCUCAGGAGGUAUGUCUUUCCGGGCUUCACCUUUAGCUUGAAAGUAUCUGGGCAAUGUGCAAUACAAAAUCAAUGUUAAAUACUUGCGUAUGCAUAGAAUGCUGCUUAGUAAAGAUAUAUACAUGGAUGAUGGUGGUUAAGAGCGAAGUACCUUGAGCUGAGCAGUUGUACAAGGGGCCAGGGAGGCCGUUGAUGGUAUAGGCAUCAGAGACAUUUGGGCCACCUCCAUUCUGCAGGGCCUGGGUAAUGACUGCUUCCGGAUCCGCAUUCCACCAUUCUCCUAUAAAAUAUCAUACAAUGGAUAAUGAAUUUCCUUAGAUCAUAAAAUGAAAACGAUUGGAAGUCUUGCUAGUAGACAGUGAUAAAUGGAUGAGUACCAAAUAUAAUGGGAACUUCCUUGUAGGGUUUGACAAACGGGUAAGGGACAUUUUUCUUUGGAAGGAUGAUGAUGGGUCCAUAGAGAGUGGAUCUUAGCCAUGAAAUGUGAGCAUGCCAAAACAGGGUUCCUCUUUGGCCAGUGAUGGUGAAAUUGUAUACAUAGGUCUGGCCUGUUUGAAUUGGGCAUUGAGUCACAUACGCAGGCCCGUCUGCCCACCCACUCCUAAGCUGCCGAACUCCAUGCCUGCAGCUUGCACAAUUAGUAAGGGCAGAGAAGAUGACAAUGACGAGAAAACUAAUAGGCCUUCUUACCAAUGGAUGGUGACAUUGUUCUGGACAUGGUUAACCACCUUAACCACCACUCGAUCUCCUUCCCUAGCAAUGAUGUGAGGUCCUGGAAACUGCCCAUUCACACUCACAAUGCUCUUCGUGUGGCACAAUCUUGUCACAUUCUGCAGCUUGAUCUAGAAAGAUUCCAACAGAAAGUUAAACAAAACUUUAAGCAAUAUGAAUCCAUCUACUCAAUUAUAUACAGAUAGCCAUAUGAAAAAAAACAUACAUUGAACUUGUAAUGCCUAGUGAUGCCAGCACUACUGGCAAGCUCGGGAAAGAGCCACAGAGUGUUCAAAACUACGAACAGGACUCUGAAAAUUGCUGUUGAUGAAAGAAGAGAAGCACCCAUUUCUCCUGAAAAUCUUCUCUAUUUGAUUGAGUUGAGCAACAAUGUACCAGACAACCCUCAAGCGCUCCUUGAUGAGACUCAUGGAAGGUUGUGGCAUGGUUUAUAUAGAGGCAGUAGGACCUGUUUGGUUGAUUAGGUGAUGAAAUUAUGUAGGGGAAACAACAAAUUGAAAGGAAAACAGAGAGAACCAAACACCUACAACGACAAUCUUGAUCCGACCAGACGUUGGUCAAGUUUUGUUUUAGAGUGUUUUCAAAGACAACAUAUUUCUGAAUUUUAUUUGACCUGCUUCCUAUUCCCGUUUACCCUUUCUCAUAUGGUAUACACCAUAUGUUUCUGAAUUUCAACUGCCUUCUAUUGAUAAGUAGUGGCAAUGCAUAGAAGUGGUUGGCUCACCAACAAUAGUUUACUGCAUAAAGACUUCUAGCCUUGUGCGGGGCUGAUGAAGCCAUUCUUUCAUGUCAUGGUAUAAAAUGCUGAAAUUAUGGUGAAAGAAUUUCAUUCCACUGGACCUGCAAUUGUUUUCACCAUAAGAUUUCCGUAUCACCACCUUAGCUUAUCAGGACGCAAUAUUGAUGUGACGAUCUUGUGGACAUUCUCAAUCCCUUGGUCUUGAGUGUAACGCAUCCGAUAGGAACCUACCCUUUGUUGCUGUCUUGGGGUUGAUCACUCUCAUUGAAUUACUAAAACAAAAUUUGUAUCAAAGAAUAUUAGAAAAGUGGAUUGAAAGAUUAGGUAUAUGAAUUGACAGGGAUGCUGUAUUCCAGUUUUAGGGGUCUGAUCCCAAGUAGUGAAGUGACUGAUUCACACCUCUAACAUAAUAAUGUCCCAUUAAAUUUGCAAGAAAAAGAAUAAAAUAUUUAUUAAAAAUAUUUGAAUUCUCAAAGACUUUAAUAUUAUAAAAAGGACGUUAAUAUAAAACAAAAAGGUAUUGAAGAUAUUGAUUAUCAUCUUAAAGUAUGCUGAUUUUCACCUUAAAAAUUAAGUUUCAAUAUUUCUCAUAUUAAUUCUCAUAGAUAUUAGUAAAACAUUUAUUAUGUUUAGUUCUAAGAAAUUAUUUAAAAAAAAGGUAAAAUUUUAAGAAUUUUUUUUAUUAUGUUUUGUUUACUAUAGAAAAUAUGAAAAAUAUAAUUAAAUGUAAUUAAAAAGUAUAUAUAUUAAAUUUAAUGUUUAAUGUUUUUAUAGAGAAAAAAAAUUAAAUGAACAAGAAAAAACAUGUCAAAAUAAUUUAUAAACUUUAAAUUGAUUUUUAUUUUUCUCUUCUAUAUUUUUUCCUUCUUAUUUUCCUUUAUUUUUUGGGAAUCAAAAUAGAAUAAAGAACUUGGCUUAUAUCAAAAUGCCAAUUUAUGUUUCAAAAAUUAUGAAUUAUUGUCAAUGACUAGUUUAAAGAGUAUCAAAUUCACCAUCUUAAAUGCAUUAGUUAUCAUUCUAAAAAAUAUUAAUAAUUACAUUUAUUGUGGGAAUUUUUGACAAGGUCGCACAACAAACCUGAGUAUAAAAGAGGUGGGUUCGAAGCAUUCAACCCUUCACGUCUAAAUUUUAGGUGGUAUUUGGUUUUUUGGUUUUUUGCUGAAAGCAAUUUGUUUUUAGAAAUUAAGUUGUUUAUUUUUAUUUUUUUUUAUGACUUAUUAUAAACUUAGGUUGUUUAUUUUUUUACUUUUUCAUAACUUAUUAUAGACUUUUUGCUGAAUAGAAAAAACCAAAAUAUAUAGUUUUUUCUAAAUAGAAAAAAUAACAUAUUAGGUUUUCUUAACUUUUUAAUACUUAAUAGAAAUAAAAUACUACAAAAACAAACAACUUAAUAUUUAACACUAUUAAGUAUUAAGAUUCUAUUUAGAAUUAAGUAGAAAAACUCUUAUUGUUAGAUAAAGUUCCUCCUUUUAUGGAAAAGGGGGUUUUAUAUUGCUUUGCGGUAGCCAUGCAUAGGUUUGGUAGCUUCAAAUGUCGUAUGGUUGUACAGAUAAGAUGUUGCUUUUAUAGGGCCAGCAUAGAUGUUGGUGUCGUUCCCAACGUGGAGGGAAGCCCCCAAUAGAGGUAUGGUGUUGUAGGUGAUUUGAUAAUUUUUUCACUAAAUAUCCUUAAUUAUAAGAGUCAUCCCCAAUGUUCCUAUGUAUAUAUGGGUAGGAAAGCUUAUGCUUUGGGAACACUAUUGUAUCGUGCAUCUUCAUCUAAUUAACGCCUUCCUAGUUGCAAUGUCGUAACACCCGUAGGCAUUGAUUUCCCAUGAGACAUAUAAGAGGCAUGAAUGAUUGGAUUAAGAAAUUCUUAACUUGAGCCCAUUUGAACCUUUAGUCAAUGACUGCCCUUGAGGGUCCUCUGCUUUAAGAGGCAAACAAGAUGAGAAGGAUGGGGGAUAGGGUUAGGGAAUUUUAAACUUGAGCCUACAUGAACCCUUAUAGGAUGAUUGUCUUUGAGGAUUCGUUGUCUUAGAAUGUGAAUGAAGUGAGAAUGGUAAGGUUAGAGAUUUCUCAACUUGAACCUACAUGGACCCUUAGGCAAUGAUAACACUUGAGAAUCCCUUCCUUAAAAGGCAAAGGAAGUAAGAAGGGUGAGGUUCGAGAUUUCUUGACUUGAACUAACCCAAACCUUUAAUAGUGUCCAAGAUUUCUUGUCUUUUUAUUAAUGCUAAAAAUAAUUUUUUGAAAUAAUCAUAAUACAAAUAUCAAUAUGACCUUUAUUCUAUUAAUACUUAAUAUUUAACAAAAAUAAAAUAAUAAAAACAAAAAUUUAAUACUAUUAAAUUAUAUUUAGAAUAAAGUUAAAUUAAGUUUAAAAAAAAAAAAACACCACCUAAAUCAUAGAAAACCAUAAGAAUAAUGACACUAGCAAAUAGUUGGGUUGAGAAUGCCCUUUCUAGCAUGAUGUUGCAUCGAUAAUCUCAUCAAGAUAUGUUCUUAAAUAAUUAUAGACUCUAUUAUUGUAAUAUUUCUUACCAAUGAGAGGAUGUAAAUAAAUAUCUUUUCAUAAAAUUUGGGAAAAAUAGUUUAACUAAGAUAGUGUUAGUUUUUUUUACUUAAUUUUAAAUAAAAUUUUAAUGUUUAAUAGUGUUAAAUAUUAAUAGGUUAUUUGGUUUUUCUUAUUUUAUUUCUAUUAAAUAUUAAAAACUAAAAUAAAACCAACAUAUUACUUUUUUUAUUUAAAAAAAAUCAAAUAUUUUGGUUUUUUUUUAAAUAAAAAAUUUAUAAUAAAUCAUAAAAAAAUAAGAAAACAAACAAUUUAAAGUAUCAAAAUAAAUUAUUUUCAGUAAAAAGUUAAAAAAAUAAAUAACCUAUAAGCCUUCGGAGGUAUGACCCCGAAAAUAUCAGAAUUUCAUGUUACAAAUCAAAGUGUCCUACUAUUAAUCAUGCAAAGUCAUUUUCUUUUAGAGUCAAACAAAGGGCUAUGAUCCGCUUUUGAAAAUAUUUUUUUUAGCAUGGUCCGGAAAAAAACUCUCCAUUGUGUCCACUAUCAAUUGAAUUUGACGAAAUACAUGUCAAGUUUUGCUUCCAAAUGGAAGUAGAAAAACGUAUAUAUUAUACUAAUUCUGGUAUGGGUUUUGACUAAAUCAGCGGAAGCAUCUUAUGAAAUUUUUGUGGGCUAGUUUGCUGUACAUUAUAUGUAAGUGGCAGAUUUGGGAAGGAAGGCGAUGAGUGAUCGAUCUCCUUGGUCAUCUGAAGUAUUAACAGUAGCCAACAUUUUAUUUCCAAAAACUUCUCCAUUUCAUAAGUUGGGAGAAAAGAACAGUCGGGGGAAAAAACAAUAAAAACAGAAUAAAUAAAUUACAAGAGGGAAAAAUGGAGGCAUCAUUUGAGGCCAGGUUGGGAACAAAAGAAUUUUGGAAGACGAGGUCAACACUUGGGAAGGUCAGAGGGUGGAGGAGGCAGCUUCUGAUUAGGCAUUUUGCCAUCCUUUACUAUCCAACCCAUCUUCAAACCCCAGCUUGUGUGGACUUCCAGAUGGCAAUGCAUGAGCCAUACACCUGGAUUGUCAGCGAGGAAGCGAAUAGCUACCCAACCGCCGGACGGCACACCUACUGUGUUUCUUUCAACAGGAUCUACGAGAUUGAAUUUGGAAGGGUCCUUCUUAGCAUCAAAGUUCCCAAAACCUUGACCAACCACAAAGAAAUUGAAGCCAUGAAGGUGCAAAGGGUGGCUUUCAAUUCCCAGAAUACUUGUAUCCUGUAGCACCAACUCCACACUCGUGUUAAAUGGAAGCACUACCACCUUAGUUCCGUUGCUCACCAUGGUGUUGUUGGGUGGUGUCCCUGUAUAAUUGAAAGGAAAGAUUGGAGUGGCUGGAAAAUCUGUGGUGUAGACGCCAUUGGAUUGCUGAAAAAAGUGUGCUUGAAGGAUGGCCGUGGUGGGUAGAACAAAAGAGACAUUGUUAACCGAAGCUGAAAACAUGGUGCUAUUAUUGGGUCCUUGACAAGUCUGGUUCUGCGGGCAAGGGUUUGUCCCCAGCCCAACCGUGAAGAAAAAUCGCUUAUCAACCUUUUGAGGUACAUUAGCAGGGAACUGAGUGUUUGCUAAACUGCGGAGUUUGCGGGUGAAGUUGGCUGCAAAGGAAGUGUCAUUUAGAGGAGGGAGUGUUGGUUUGAAGAGUGGAAGAUUUUCAAAUGAGGGGGCAGAGGGAGAGGAUUUGGGUGGUGGUUCAUAGUGGAGGAUUCCGGCGACAGUGGAAUUGUCAAAGGUUCCACUGCCGGUGGCAUAAGGGCGAGCAGCCAUGAGGAAGGUGGCAUUAGGGAAGUGGGGUUUGGCCUUGAGGAGUAGGUUGGUGGUUUGGCCAGGAGUGAUCAAAAUUGUAUCGGUUUUAAAGGGUUUAACGUAAAUGGCAUCCACAUCAACCACUGUAAGGGUGUGGUUGGCAAUGCUGAAGAAGAGCUCAUCAUUGAGUGCAGCAUUGAUCAAUCUCAGGAGGUAUGUCUUUCCGGGCUUCACCU
rnacentral:lncRNA from 1 species